rnacentral:rRNA from 1 species
AUACGUAGGGUGCGAGCGUUGUCCGGAAUUACUGGGCGUAAAGAGCUCGUAGGAGGUUUGUCGCGUCGUCUGUGAAAUUCCGGGGCUUAACUCCGGGCGUGCAGGCGAUACGGGCAUAACUUGAGUACUGUAGGGGAGACUGGAAUUCCUGGUGGAGCGGUGAAAUGCGCAGAUAUCAGGCGGAACACCGGUGGCGAGGCGGGUCUCUGGGCAGUAACUGACGCUGAGGAGCGAAAGCAUGGGUAGCGAACAGGAUUAGAUACCCUGGUAGUCCAUGCCGUAAACGGUGGGCGCUAGGUGUAGGGGUCUUCCACGACUUCUGUGCCGUAGCUAACGCAUUAAGCGCCCCACCUGGGGAGUACGGUCGCAAGGCUGAAACUCAAAUGAAUUGGCGGGG